AUGCUAGUGUCUUAUAAUUGAAUAUAUGGUAUUGUUAUUGACAUCAGGCCAUUCAGCAGAUAAACUGAGGAUCUGUAUUGGUCAGUUCAUCCUUUCUGCCACUCAACAAUCUCCAACUCACUCAAAACAACCAUCCCAGGUAGGCUCAACCAAUAUUCAAAUCCAAAUAACAAUCCCAUAUAUUCAAUUAUAAGACACUAGCAU
rnacentral:misc_RNA from 1 species